rnacentral:rRNA from 1 species
UACAGAGGUGGCAAGCGUUGUUCGGAAUUACUGGGCGUAAAGGGCGCGUAGGCGGUUCGAUAAGUCCCGUGUGAAAUCCCUCGGCUCAACUGAGGAAUGGCACGGGAAACUGACGGGCUUGAGUUCGGGAGAGGGAAGCGGCAUUCCGGGUGUAGCGGUGAAAUGCGUAGAUAUCCGGAGGAACACCGGUGGCGAAGGCGGCUUCCUGGACCGACACUGAC